GGGGAGCCUGCUUCUCUCUCUGCAUGUGUCUCUGCCUCUCUCCCUGUGUCUCUCAUGAAUGGAUAAACAAAAUCUUAAAAAAAAAAUUACUGCUGUAUGGCAUACAAUUAUUUUUUAUACCAAUAUGGAACUAAUUGUAUGUAUUAAUUUUUUUAAAAGAUUUUAUUUAUUUAUUCAUGAGAGACACAGAGAGAGAGGUAGAGACGUAGACAGAGGGAGAGGCAGGCUCCCUGCAAGGAGCCCCUGAUGUGAGACUUGAUCCCAGACCCCAAGAUCAAGACCUGAGCCAAAGGCAGUUGCUCCACCACUGAGCCACCCAGGUGUCCCCUAUGUACUAAAUUUUAAAUUAAUUGUUGUUUAAAGAUUUUGUGAUGCUUCUGAGUCAGCUGGACAUGCCAUGUAUUGUUGCAAAACCAGUUGGGAAUUUCUGGAUUCUCUUGUAUAGAGUAUUGACCAGAGGAGACAUAAAAGAAGUAGAUAGAGUGACCCUUGCUUUCACGAUUGUGAUUCAAUUUUGAAAGGACAGAGUGCAGAGUAAACUGCUAUUUUUAAUGUCAGAGAGUAUUUUAUUCUUCUAGAAAAACUCCUCUUAGAUAUGUAGCACACUUGGGGAAGAUAGAAGAGGAGGGCAGGCAAGAGAUACAUGUUUUCUUUUAUAUCUGGAAGGAUAAACAGCAUGAGCCUUCCAGAAUGAGUUAGCAUGCUAUUUUAUACAAAGUCCGGGAACUCUCAGGUUUUUAAGUAGUAAGUAUGUUAAGUAGUAUUUCUUGUUUAUUCAGGCCAUGUGGUACUUUGGAAUGUGCAUAUCUCAGAUAUUUGAAAAGCAUUCCGUAACCUAUAUUCCAGGCAUUGUUUCUGCUCGUCUCUUGGGCCAGUGGAUCUGCAAUCGACCGGUACCCUUUACUGGAAUCCAGGUUUAUCUUUGUUUAGGAAAUAAGGGUCAUGGUGAAGUUUGUGAAACUCCUCUUCCCUUCCCUGGAUCCAACCUUCACCCUCCUGUUGCCUUCUUCUUAGGCUGCUUCCUGCCUUCCCUACUGGAAACCACUGGCCAGAAUUUCUUAGGACAGAAUUUCCAGAGUCUUUAUCUACCUUUUCUCCCAGGCUGA
rnacentral:lncRNA from 12 species